GAAAUCGUACCCCAAACCGACACAGGUGGUCAGGUAGAGAAUACCAAGGCGCUUGAGAGAACUCGGGUGAAGGAACUAGGCAAAAUGGUGCCGUAACUUCGGGAGAAGGCACGCUGACACGUAGGUGAAGUGAUUUACUCAUGGAGCUGAAGUCAGUCGAAGAUACCAGCUGGCUGCAACUGUUUAUUAAAAACACAGCACUGUGCAAACACGAAAGUGGACGUAUACGGUGUGACGCCUGCCCGGUGCCGGAAGGUUAAUUGAUGGGGUCAGCGCAAGCGAAGCUCCUGAUCGAAGCCCCGGUAAACGGCGGCCGUAACUAUAACGGUCCUAAGGUAGCGAAAUUCCUUGUCGGGUAAGUUCCGACCUGCACGAAUGGCGUAAUGAUGGCCAGGCUGUCUCCACCCGAGACUCAGUGAAAUUGAACUCGCUGUGAAGAUGCAGUGUACCCGCGGCAAGACGGAAAGACCCCGUGAACCUUUACUAUAGCUUGACACUGAACAUUGAGCCUUGAUGUGUAGGAUAGGUGGGAGGCUUUGAAGUGUGGACGCCAGUCUGCAUGGAGCCGACCUUGAAAUACCACCCUUUAAUGUUUGAUGUUCUAACGUGGACCCGUAAUCCGGGUUGCGGACAGUGUCUGGUGGGUAGUUUGACUGGGGCGGUCUCCUCCUAAAGAGUAACGGAGGAGCACGAAGGUUGGCUAAUCCUGGUCGGACAUCAGGAGGUUAGUGCAAUGGCAUAAGCCAGCUUGACUGCGAGCGUGACGGCGCGAGCAGGUGCGAAAGCAGGUCAUAGUGAUCCGGUGGUUCUGAAUGGAAGGGCCAUCGCUCAACGGAUAAAAGGUACUCCGGGGAUAACAGGCUGAUACCGCCCAAGAGUUCAUAUCGACGGCGGUGUUUGGCACCUCGAUGUCGGCUCAUCACAUCCUGGGGCUGAAGUAGGUCCCAAGGGUAUGGCUGUUCGCCAUUUAAAGUGGUACGCGAGCUGGGUUUAGAACGUCGUGAGACAGUUCGGUCCCUAUCUGCCGUGGGCGCUGGAGAACUGAGGGGGGCUGCUCCUAGUACGAGAGGACCGGAGUGGACGCAUCACUGGUGUUCGGGUUGUCAUGCCAAUGGCACUGCCCGGUAGCUAAAUGCGGAAGAGAUAAGUGCUGAAAGCAUCUAAGCACGAAACUUGCCCCGAGAUGAGUUCUCCCUUGGACUUUAAGUCCACUGAAGGAACGUUGAAGACGACGACGUUGAUAGGCCGGGUGUGUAAGCGCAGCGAUGCGUUGAGCUAACCGGUACUAAUGAACCGUGAGGCUUAACCUUACAACGCCGAAG
rnacentral:rRNA from 1 species